ACUUAAUAUAAUUAUGUAUAACUUAGAAAUUUUGCAUAAACUGAGGUAGGUAGAGUUAUAUUUUGUUGGGGCGACAAAAAUAUAAUUCUUAACUGUUUAUUUUAAUAUAAUAUUCAUAAAUAGAUUUUGAUCCUUUACUAGAGAUUAAAAGUUUAAGUU
rnacentral:rRNA from 1 species